AUACGUAGGGGGCGAGCGUUGUCCGGAAUGAUUGGGCGUAAAGGGCGCGUAGGCGGCGCGGUAAGUCUGGAGUGAAAGUCCUGCUUUCAAGGUGGGAAUUGCUUUGGAUACUGCCGCGCUUGAGUGCAGGAGAGGUUAUCGGAAUUCCCGGUGUGGCGGUGAAAUGCGUAGAGAUCGGGAGGAACACCAGUGGCGAAGGCGGGUAACUGGACUGCAACUGACGCUGAGGCGCGAAAGUGUGGGGAGCAAACAGGAUUAGAUACCCUGGUAGUCCACACUGUAAACGAUGAAUGCUAGGUGUAAGAGGUAUCGACCCCUUUUGUGCCGGAGUCAACACAAUAAGCAUUCCGCCUGGGGAGUACGGCCGCAAGGUUGAAACUCAAAUGAAUUGGCGGGG
rnacentral:rRNA from 1 species